UUUACUUCUAAACAAUGUUUUGGAAGUUUUAGCCUCUUUUGGGACAAAAUGGGUAUAAGUGUUGUCUAAACACUCCUAAUCCAUCUCUAAGUCAUAUAAUUAGUCCAAUGCAUUGGAUUGUAAUAUAUUUUGACCUUUGAAACACUAAAAAAGUUAUUU
rnacentral:sRNA from 1 species